CUCUGAGAAGAAAUGUAUUAAAGUGUGGGAAGAGAGGACAGAUACGUAGAUAAAUUAGAUUAGAGACGCAGAGCAAAAUAGGGACAUAUGGGAAUCCUUGAACAGCUCCAGCAUGUUGUACUGAUUAGAACUCUCAAAGGCUGGUAACCUCCCAGAACUUGGAAAGUUCUCUAAAGAACAGGGAAGACUUUGGUUCUGAGCAAGUAAACCACUGAAAGGCGAGAGGAGGAAGGGCCUAACUGCAAGAAAUCAGCACACUGGAUACAGUCCAUUUCCAGGUCACUGUCUGCGGAGAUUCCACUGCAGCAGUAGAUCCAGUCAUGCUUAAAGUUAGCUGGAGAAUUGAAACACAGAGCGAUCAAAUGAUUUGCCCAAGGUCACACAGAAAGUCUGUGGCAGAGCAGGGAACUGAAUUCAGAUUCAAAGUCGCCACCCUAACCACUGCCACUGGACCAUCCUUCCUCUCCUUGAUCCUCUGGAACAAGAUCUGCAGCUGACGUAAAUCAGCCUAGGUCCACUGAAGUGAAUGGAGCUAUGCCAGUUUACACCAGAUCUAGCCCUAUGUGUGUAAACACAUCUAUGUGUAAAACUUUCUGUUGAGUGACAAUAGACUGUUUUCAUGGUAACAGGGAUGGACUCAAGCUCUAAAGCUCUGAUCUGGUUUGAGGGAAUCAUCUCUAUAUGGCAACACUUUUUCACUGCUGAUCAUUUGGGCUGCAGAAUUAACUGCAUCAUAGGGACAGAGGUGGGGGCACACACUGGGAAUGUGGAACAAAGUUAAAAUCUAUUGUUGUUGAAGGUUUCUAGAAGCCGUAGCAGAGACCACCUCAGCUGGUACUGGUCAGUUUGCAAUGCACCGAAAUUGGACUUGGUACCAUGCUGUUUCUCUUAACGAUAGUGUCAGGAAAGGAUUGCAUGAUCAAGGGAACGUUACGCACUUCUCCAACUUCUGCCCAUGCUGUGUGGCUCAGUUAAUAACCAGAGCUUGUAGAUUUUAAUCAAGCUCUAUGUAGCUAUUCUGGAACGAGAGCUGAUCUUUGCGUAAUAGUGGGGCCCCAGUUUUUAACAGACAAUUCAAAUGGCUUUGAGCUGUUGUUCAGAACAUUCUGCUCUUCUAUUCUGUAGAGAUCUCUCAGCUUACAGAGCCCUGCAGUCACCACCAAUGUCCCCUAGGGAAACAGAUAAUAAAUCCUAACCCUUCUCCUUUAUUAAGUAGAAUGGAAGACUUCAAUAGAUAAAUAACUUAGCUUGAAUGUAAUAUCUACUUAGGCAUUGUUCAGUAAGUUAUUUCAAUAUAGAGCCUUGUAAAUUCAUAGUUUGUGCUGCAGUAAUGAGCUGAAUUCGUAUAGUGCCUCUCAUCUCAAAGGAUCUUUAAAGGCUUUGCAGGCUGCAGUGUACAUAAAAAUCACUUCCACCACUGAAAUGUAGUCAUGUCUAUGGUAGAAUUAGCAGCUGUUUAACAGUUUGGGACAGGGAGUGGAGAAGACUAGAGAGCUGCAGGGGAAAGUUAGGUAGGGAAAAUGUAAUUUUCCACACAGCCAGUCAAAAUUUUUCAAAUUAAAGGCUUAAAAAAAUAUUUUCUGGGGGGUGAAAAUUAGACUGUGAACAUUUUCCUUCUUUCUUUUUUUUUAAAGUGACUUUUCAAUCAAACUUUUUUAUUGAAAAUGUUAUUGAAAUGUUUGAUUUACCUAAAAUGGGGUGUUUGGUAAACAAAAAGUAUCAGUAACCAGUUUGAUAACAUUUUCAAUAGUGAUUUCAAUAAAAAAUGUCAUGUGUGCUUAUGGCAAACUAAAUGUACACGAUAAUAUAGGCGGGCAAUGGCACACACAGCUCAGGCUAGAGCUCACAGCUAGCUCCAGUUCUGUCCCAUAAAAAAAAUGGUU